CCAACCAACUAAUCAAUUAAUCAAUCAAUCAACCAAUCAAUCAAUCAUGAUCAUGAUCAAUCAAUCAUUGUUUCCGUCUCAUGUGUUUAAUAUAGGGUCAAGAUUCUUUGUUUCUUUUUCCGUGUUUCAAUUGACCCUAUCCAACGUGUUUAACCAACCAACCAAUCAACCAACCAACCAACCAACUAACCAACUUAUCAAUCAUCAAUCAAUCAAUCAAUCAAUCAAUCAAUCAAUCAAUCAAUCAAUCAAUCAAUCUGUAUGACUGUUUAAUCAUGACAGUUUAUUGAAGGAACAAACUCUCAAUUAUUCAAGAAAAAUUGAAAUUUAAUAUUGUUCUUACGUCACUUCUGAAAAAAAAAAUCCACAUGUUCUCUGAAACUACAAGUACAAUCGACCUCAAAAUUUGCAGUCAGCAGGGCAUACAUGUACUAAACGUUUAUAAAAAAACUUGGUUGCAGAGAUCUCUCAAAGCUUUUCCUAGAGAAAGAAAUGGCAAUGCCGUUAAAAAUAGCUUGCUAGGUCCGUAAAUCUCAGUAAAAACCUACAAUAAAAUGUCCGCUCGAGUUGAAAUACUAAUCUGUGUUACAAACAGGUGCUGAAAAAUGUACAUUAUCAGAAAAUAAUCAAAAAAAUGUUUUUAAAGUUACACCGGAUCAAUUAAGUCCAAAACAUGCACUACUGUGAACUGUCAUCAAAAUGUCAAUUUCCUACAAUGACAAAAGAAAUUACAUUGUGUACAUUCCAUCUCUAUAGAUGUUGUCUGUUUAACGUCCCCACCUAAAAAGAAAUAAAAGACUAUCUUUUCGUUAUUAUAAACCCGUGUCACGUGAUGUGGCGCGCGCGCUGUACCUAAAAUAAAGAAAAACUUUCCAAACUAAACAUGAAACUUCUCCGGUAACAAUAAUAUAGACCCCAUACAGAAACAAACAAACAAACAAACAAACAAACACCCCCCAAUUCAAUUAAUUUUACAGGGGAAAGACCCCCUACAAUUGCUUUUUUAAAGCAAUUGAUUAUAUUGUAAAAAGGCCUUUUUAACCAUUCUGUUCCAUUAAUAUAAAAAAAAAAAAAAAAUCCUCUCCGAGACCCUCUUUUGGCCCCCCCUUUUUUUUUACCCUCCACUGACAACUGAAUGUAGUUUGUGUGCUAUCUAUCCUAUCAACGUAAAACGAACGACAACUCCAGUUUUUUCCCAUAUUAUUAGGUCUUUCCACUUUUCUGUGGAAAGACCUAUUGUUUUUCUUCUGAUUAUUAUUUUUUUUUUUCUUCCGCCUAAUUUUGUUCUUGCGAUAAACAUUUGUUUCGCAAUAUGUCGCUUAGAAUUUUGUAUAUGAUAUCGAACAGUUUAUGCGCUUUUGAAAUUUACCCUGCGUAAACGAAUACUUUCUUUUAGGAGUUAUCUCCCCAAACACUGUUUUCCUUGUUAUGGCAUCUCCUUCGCAACCGUUAAAGAUUAUGACAAAUUUAUUUUACAAAAUUGUUCGUUACAUCCUCAGUAAUUUUUGGCGUAUUUGGAUCGAAGCGAUUCGAAGAAAUUUUAUAGGAGUUAUCUAUCUUUUCGGAAUAAAUUUGUCGGUAUGUUUUUUUUAACUCAUAAACCGUUAACCGUAUAACCCUGGAAUUUUUUAUUUAGGUCCCUGAUUCCUAACUUAGAAAAUUAGGUCAAGGUCAAAGGUCAAGGUCAUAUUUUAAAUUUUCAUAUGUCUUUGAUUCCCUAUAACUCUUGAACGGUUAUAGAUACAAAAAUAUUAAGCAGUGAAAAAUGCUUGGUACUUCAAGGGGCAACUUUUUUUACAUUAUGACUAUAUUGAUUUAACCAUCAUGUAAGGGACAUAACUCCCAUCGAUGGUUUUUAAAAGGCCAUUUUUAGGCAAAACUCUUAAACAAAAGGUCCUUGACCCAUAGGGUCUUUUGCAAUGACCUUGUGGAGCAAUGACCUUGACGAAGGUUACAAGGUCAAAGGUCAAGUCAUCAAAUUAUGUGGUUUGGCACUAUUUAAACAGUUUUAUGUGUGUUUGAAUUUCACCACCAACAACAACCAACCAACCAACAACCAAUCAAUCAAUCAAUCAAUCAAUCAAUCAAUCAAUCAAUCAAUCAUGAUCAUGAUCAAUCAACCAAUAAUGAUCAUGAUCAAUCAAUCAAUCAUGUUUCCGUCUCAUGUGUUUCUUAUAGGGUCCAACCAACCAACCAACCAACCAACCAACAAACCAACCAACCAAUCAAUCAAUCAAUCAUGAUCAUGAUCAACCAAUCAUGUUUCCGUCUCAUGUGUUUAAUAUAGGGUCCAAGAUCUUCUUUGUGUCUUUUUCCGUGUUUCAAUUGACCCUAUCCAAUGUGUUUAACCAACCAACCAACCAACCAACCAACUAAUCAAUCAAUCAAUCAAUCAAUCAAUCAAUCAAUCAAUCAUCAGAUCAUGAUCAAUCAAUCAUGUUUCCGUCUCAUGUGUUUAAUAUAGGGUCCAAGAUCUUCUUUGUUUCUUUUUCCGUGUUUCAAUUGACCCUAUCCAACGUGUUUAACCAACCAACCAACCAACCAACCAACCAACUAAUCAAUUAAUCAAUCAAUCAAUCAACCAAUCAAUCAAUCAUGAUCAUGAUCAAUCAAUCAUGUUUCCGUCUCAUGUGUUUAAU
rnacentral:lncRNA from 1 species